GGGAGCCCCGGGGCCAACUGCUGGUGUGGGGAGAGAGCUAUUUUAAAUGUGAUGGUCAGGGAAGCCCUCACUGACCAUAUGACAUUUGCUCUGCCGCUUAAAGGAUGAGGAGCAAGCCCUGUGGUUAUCUGGGGGGAGAGUUUCAGGGAGAGGGAAGAGCAAGUGCACAGGCCCUGAGGCGGGCAUGUGAUUGGCACAUUCAAGGAACAGCAAGGAGGCCGGUGCUGCUGGAGCGGAGUGAGCAAAGGGGAGAAGAGCAGAGGUCAGCUCAGGUGGUGGCAGCAGGGAAGGAGGUGCGCUUGGAGCCAGGCAGCCCCGGAGGCACCACUUUCCAGCUGGGGGUCACUCAACUUUCAGGAAGCCCAGGGUCCUCCUCUGGCAGUGGUGACGGCCCCGGCCUCCAGGAGCGGCCGCAAGGAUUCAGAGCUGAUAAG
rnacentral:lncRNA from 1 species